rnacentral:misc_RNA from 1 species
GAGAUAAUAAUUAUUCAUUCUAGACCUAAUCAAAAUGUACCAACCAUUGGCAUAAAAUGCAGUCAGACUAGGAUAAGACAAAACUCAAACUUCAAGCCUUUAUCAACAACAAAACAGGAGCGGGGAAAGAGCUAAAAUAUCGAGAUAUUCAAAAGAGAAUCCAACAUACUACUCCCAGCAGCAAAAGAAGUAUAGAACAGACAUCCUAGAAUUCAAAUUUAUUUAAGUUGGAACGAGAAAAGAAAGUGAUUAAGUGAACAAAUACACACUCAUAAGCUCACUGGAAAACAUUUAAGAAAUGACAACAACAAAUAGAUAAAAGAACAGCCAAUCCUAACAUCAACUAAUCUUCUGGAAACAAAUUCGAACAUCAAAAUGAGGGAAAAGGAAACUUAAAGCUAACUAAAAGUUCAACAAAUUGCAGGUCAGAUCAACUUAAUAAACCGUAUACUAAGCUAGUUUUUGAAAAUCAUUUUUAGAAAAUAAGUU